GAGGGUGUAGCUCAGUGGUAGAGCACUUGCCUUGCAUGCCAAAUGCCUGGGUUUAAUUCCCAACACACACA
rnacentral:tRNA from 1 species